rnacentral:rRNA from 1 species
GAAGAACGCAGCGAAAUGCGAUAAGUAGUGUGAAUUGCAGAAUUCAGUGAAUCAUCGAAUCUUUGAACGCACAUUGCGCCCUUUGGUAUUCCAAAGGGCAUGCCUGUUCGAGCGUCAUUUGUACCCUCAAGCUUUGCUUGGUGUUGGGCGUCUUGUCUCUAGCUUUGCUGGAGACUCGCCUUAAAGUAAUUGGCAGCCGGCCUACUGGUUUCGGAGCGCAGCACAAGUCGCACUCUCUAUCAGCAAAGGUC